CGGCACUUGGCGUCUCCAAGCCGAUCCGAUGCCAAGAGACCAAGCACGCAGGCUUGGUCGAGAGGUCCUUUAAAGUUGCACGCGGGGGAUGUCUAUGUGCAGUCGGGGUCCCUGAGGUGGGCCUUUCACAGGAGUGUCAAAACUUCGAUUGUUCUUACUGCUCCAGGCUUGAAUAAACCGCCUCGAGCGCAUCUGUACAUCCCACCCCUCAAGAUCAGAAUGUGCUCCGGUUGUAUUGUAAACAAUGACAUCUUCUAUAUUGCUUAUCUAUUUGAGCACAAUUGAGAUGCAGAGAAUAUUAAUGAAGAGGAUUGUGCCAAACCUGUGCAAGCACGACUGUUAAUGGUAUGUUGUUUUGUUGUUGUCUCACACUUUUUUAGAUGCGCUGUUGUUUAUAAAUGCUACUUCUUUUGAUAAAACCGCUUUUAAUAUACGGUUUUAUUCAGAUUAAAGCUUAUAUACAGCACAGCAACGUACACGCGACCAUGUAUAACGCUUCUCAUUGCUUUGUGAAAAUAAGUGUAUAAAUGGAAUAGUUUGUUGGAGCUGAUCUGAGGAUCUGAUUGAGAGAGAGAGAGAGAGGCAGAGCAGGGAAAUGUGAGGAACAGGAUUGAGAACCGCUGCUUUAGAACACUGGG